UACGUAGGGUGCGAGCGUUAAUCGGAAUUACUGGGCGUAAAGCGUGCGUAGGCGGUUCGUUAAGUUCGUUGUGAAAGCCCCGGGCUCAACCUGGGAAUGGCAAUGGAAACUGGCGAGCUGGAGUAUGGCAGAGGGGGGUGGAAUUCCGCGUGUAGCAGUGAAAUGCGUAGAGAUCCGGAGGAACACCGACGGCGUAGGCAGCGCCCUGGACGACACCUGACGCUGAGGCACGAAAGCUGGGGGAGCGAACAGG
rnacentral:rRNA from 1 species